UACGGGGGGUGCGAGCGUUGUCCGGAAUCACUGGGCGUAAAGGGCGCGUAGGUGGUUUGAUAAGGGUGUGGUGAAAGUCCGGGGCUCAACCCCGGAUCUGCCGUGCCGACUGUCAAACUCGAGGACUGUAGAGGCAGACGGAAUUCCGGGUGUAGCGGUGGAAUGCGUAGAGAUCCGGAGGAAGACCGGUGGCGAAGGCGGAUCUCUGGGCCGAUACUGACGCUGAGGAGCGAAAGCGUGGGGAGCGAACAGG
rnacentral:rRNA from 1 species